GUGUCAGCAGCCGCGGUAAGACGUAGGGAGCGAGCGUUGUCCGGAUUCAUUGGGCGUAAAGCGCGCGUAGGCGGUUUGGUAAGUCGGAUGUGAAAACACGAGGCUCAACCUCGUGCGUGCAUCCGAAACUGCCCGACUAGAGGUAGGUAGGGGAGAUCGGAAUUCCUGGUGUAGCGGUGAAAUGCGCAGAUAUCAGGAGGAACACCGGUGGCGAAGGCGGAUCUCUGGGCCUUACCUGACGCUGAGGCGCGAAAGCUAGGGGAGCGAACAGGAUUAGAUACCCUGGUAGUCCUAGCCGUAAACGUUGGGUGCUAGGUGUGGGAGGACAUUGACCCCUUCCGUGCCGAAGCUAACGCAUUAAGCACCCCGCCUGGGGAGUACGGCCGCAAGGCUAAA
rnacentral:rRNA from 1 species